rnacentral:tRNA from 1 species
CCUGGUGUAGCUCAGCGGCAGAGCACCCGGCUGUAACCGGGAGGGCGUGAGUUCGAUCCUCACCGCCAGGU